rnacentral:rRNA from 1 species
UACGUAGGUGGCAAGCGUUGUCCGGAAUUAUUGGGCGUAAAGCGCGCGCAGGCGGCCUUUUAAGUCUGAUGUGAAAGCCCACGGCUCAACCGUGGAAGGUCAUUGGAAACUGAAAGGCUUGAGUACAGAAGAGGAAAGCGGAAUUCCACGUGUAGCGGUGAAAUGCGUAGAGAUGUGGAGGAACACCAGUGGCGAAGGCGGUCUGCUGGGCCGUUGCUGACGCUGAGGCGCGACAGCGUGGGGAGCAAACAGG